rnacentral:rRNA from 1 species
AUGGGAGCAAUUCAUAAUGUCCAAGCACCAAAGACUACGCUGAUACUCUCAGAGAAAUCAAAUCAACAUCACAAGCACAUUGCAUGCCCAUACACUCUUGCAGCAUUGCAUGUUCUGACUUCUUGGCUCUGUCCGUUGCCAACUUGUCAUGAUAGCUUGAUAGCUGCACCUGCACUGCAUUGCAUUGUUCUCUUCUCUUCCUCCUCACCUAUAAAUCUAUCAGCUUACCACCACCAUCUCAUCAUCACUUCAUCCACAAGCCAAGCACCACCACAGCACCUAGCCGCUACAAAAGUUUCUCUGGACUUUCAGCCAAGAAACAAGGAGAAGUAG